GAAAAAUAAUAAUAAUGCUAAUAGAAACAUUAACUUCUGUAUAAAGAGCAACAGAAAAGUAAAACUAAGAUAUAAGUACUUUGAUCUGGAAGAUAAGUGUACAAGAUUCCAAUAUAAGGGGUGCAGGGAGAAGGUGGAAGGUGAGAAAGGCUAUUUGAAUGCUACAUUUCAAACCAGCAAAGAGGGUUCUGAAAAAGAUGUCAGAAGUAUCCAACAGCCACAGAGGUUACAAAAUUAAACUAAUAUUGUGAAGACUGUCAUAGUUGAUUCCUUCUAUAUCUCCAUUAAGUUUCUCCUUCACACGGCCCUCGAUUAAGAAGCACCAACGAUGAUGUU
rnacentral:misc_RNA from 1 species